rnacentral:lncRNA from 1 species
UAAACUUCACCAACUUAUUUGCCCUUGUUAUUCAUUGUGUCAUUCGUUCAAAUUUUCAGUAGUAAGAGCAGGUUCAAUAAAUUUGGCUAUUAGCCAAGUCAUGUCAUUUGGAGCCUAACCUUAUAGACAAUGCAUACAGUAGUUAGGAGAAGUCUACAUAGCCUCCAACCUACAACUCCAAAACUGAGUUUUGUUUCCCUCUUCC